AAUCAACGCUGGCGGCGUGCCUCAGACAUGCAAGUCGAACGCGAAAGUUUCCUUCGGGGAACAAGUAGAGUGGCGCACGGGUGAGUAACACGUAGGUAAUCUACCUUUGGAUGGGGAAUAACAACCGGAAACGGUUGCUAAUACCGCAUAAUGCAGCGGCACCUAAUGGUGACAGUUGUUAAAGCGGGGGAUCGAAAGACCUCGCGUCUGAAGAGGAGCCUGCGGCGGAUUAGCAGUUGGUAAGGUAAUGGCUUACCAAGGCGACGAUCCGUAACCGGCCUGAGAGGGCGGUCGGUCACACUGACACUGACAUACGGGUCAGACUCCUACGGGAGGCAGCAGUCGGGAA
rnacentral:rRNA from 1 species